UUGAUGGCUGUUAAAAUAAUUGAAAAGAAAAUUGAAAAAAUUAAGUAAAGCAAAAUAGUUGAUUGUGUCGGAAUAGAAUAUAACAUAUACGAUACGACGUUCAAUUUUCAAGGAAGCUAUAACGACGAUUAGUGUAAUGACAAUUUCGCAUUUUGACCGCGGCACGAUUCAGCGGGCGCGAUGCGCGAGAGAUGAGAAGAGUUAGAGGGAGGGGCGAUUCUAACAAACGCUGCCGGACUUCGGAGUAGUUGUUAAUGUAGUAUAUGUGUGACAACGGGAUUGACAACAUGGAUACGUCUGACUUAGGAGGAGGUUCGUUAAAAUAUAUUUUGAAUAUUAUUGCAAAAAAAAUGUUUUUUUAUGAUACGACAAAUUUGAUCGAUAUAAAGGUAAUUAGAGUGAUGGGUUGUGCUUCAUUGAUGGUGAAAAAUAGAAUGGAAUAAUAUUAAAGAAUUGAAAUUAAAGUAUCGAACAAGGUGGAGGAGUCGUAGGAAGAGAAGGAGCAGGAGAAGGUGGAGGAAGACGAGGAGAAGGAGGAGAAAAAGAAGGAGGAGGGACAACAGGAUGGUUAGCAUCAGCAUUAGCAGCAGCAAUAACAACAGAGGAAAGAGUAGAAGAAUAUGCAUCAUAAGGAAAAGCGAAAUGAAAGAGGAUAAGUAUGGGGUGGAAAAUGAGGCAGAGAAGAAGAAAGAAAACAGGAAGGAAACGAAUGACAAUGCAAGAAAGAAAGCUAGAGAAAUAUUGCAAAGAGUGCAUUUUAAAUUAAAUUAAUUUUUCUAUCUACAGAUGUGUCGUGCGGUGUUGCAUAUUGUGCAAUAAUACUUGUGAUUUAGUUUUUAAUGAUUAUUAUAAAGAAGUAAAAACAGAGCAACAUAUGUUGAUUGAAAAUAAUUUUAUAUAGAAGAUUUAUCAAAGCAUAAUAUCGCGUAAAGUUGCUUAAUCGGUAGGAAGUCACAUCAACUAUACAGCUGUGUAACCUGUACAAGACACCAAUACGUGCAUCAUUUUCUUCAUUACAUCGGCUGUAAGAAGUCAUAGGAGAAGAAUUACUAAGAUCUAAGAA